UACGGAGGGUGCGAGCGUUGUCCGGAAUCACUGGGCGUAAAGGGCGCGUAGGUGGCCCGUUAAGUGGCUGGUGAAAUCCCGGGGCUCAACUCCGGGGCUGCCGGUCAGACUGGCGAGCUAGAGCACGGUAGGGGCGAGAUGGAAUUCCCGGUGUAGCGGUGGAAUGCGUAGAGAUCGGGAGGAACACCAAUGGCGAAGGCAGGCGACUGGACAGAAGGUGACGCUGAGGCGCGAAAGUGUGGGGAGCGAACCGG
rnacentral:rRNA from 1 species